rnacentral:rRNA from 1 species
AUAAGCGGAGGAAAAGAAACCAACAGGGAUUGCCCCAGUAACGGCGAGUGAAGCGGCAACAGCUCAAAUUUGAAAUCUGGCCCCUCCCCCGGGGGGGCCCGAGUUGUAAUUUGCAGAGGAUGCUUCUGGCGAGGUGCCUUCCGAGUUCCCUGGAACGGGACGCCACAGAGGGUGAGAGCCCCGUCUGGUCGGACACCGAGCCUCUGUGAAGCUCCUUCGACGAGUCGAGUAGUUUGGGAAUGCUGCUCUAAAUGGGAGGUAUAUGUCUUCUAAAGCUAAAUACCGGCCAGAGACCGAUAGCGCACAAGUAGAGUGAUCGAAAGAUGAAAAGCACUUUGAAAAGAGGGUUAAACAGUACGUGAAAUUGUUGAAAGGGAAGCGCUCACGACCAGACCUGGUCCCGGCGAAUCACCCGGCGUUCUCGCCGGUGCACUUCGACGGGCUUCCAGGCCAGCAUCAGUCCGCGCCGGGGGACAAAGGCGGCGGGAACGUGGCUCCCCAGGGAGUGUUAUAGCCCGCCGCGCAAUGCCCCGGGGGCGGACUGAGGACCGCGCGUCACCGCAAGGAUGCUGGCGUAAUGGUCUUCAGCGACCCGUCUUGAA